rnacentral:rRNA from 1 species
GACGAACGCUGGCGGCGCGCUUAACACAUGCAAGUCGAGCGAGAACCUGGCCUUCGGGCCAGGGGACAGCGGCGAACGGGUGAGUAACACGUGGGUAAUCUGCCCUUGACAUCGGGAUAGCCCGGGGAAACCCGGAUUAAUACCGAAUAGCCUCCGGAGCCUUCGGGCGCCGGAGAAAAGGUAGCUUCGGCCUCUGGUCAAGGAUGAGCCCGCGGCGGAUUAGCUUGUUGGCGGGGUAACGGCCCACCAAGGCGACGAUCCGUAGCUGGUCUGAGAGGACGAUCAGCCACACUGGGACUGGGACACGGCCCAGACUCCUACGGGAGGCAGCAGUGGGGAAUCUUGCGCAAAUGCGGGAAACCGUGACGCAGCGACGCCGCGUGGGGGAAGAAGGCCUUCGGGUUGUAAACCUCUUUCAGGAGGGACGAAGCUACUCGGGUUAAUAGCCCAGAGGGUGACGGUACCUCCAGAAGAAGCCCCGGCUAACUACGUGCCAGCAGCCGCCGUAAGAC